rnacentral:miRNA from 1 species
CUGGUACAGAGGAUGGAAGGG